rnacentral:rRNA from 1 species
CGAGGAGCUUCCAUCCGAGCGUCCAUGUCCACGGCGGCCGGUGAUCUCCCGGCGGCGUCGACGAGGAGCGAGAGGCGGAAGGAGCGGAAGAAGGAGCGCCGCCGGCGCGCGCGCAGGGAGGCGGCGGCGGCCGCGCGGGCUGCAGCAGAGGCGCUCGCCGCCGACCCAGAGGAGGGGCGCCGCCUCCGAGAGCUCGAGGAGGCCGAGGCCGCCGCGUCCGACCGCGCGCGCCGCGCCUUCGAGGACGCCGAGCGCCGCUGGCUUGAGAAGGCCGCCUCGCGUGCCGCCGAGGAGGCAGCCGCGGAAGAAGAGGCGAGGGCCGCCGAGGCUUCCGCACGCGACAAGUAUAACGAUGACCACAGAGACGAGACAGAAGACGAUGGGGAAUGGGAGUAUAUUGAAGAUGGACCAGCGGAGAUCAUAUGGCAAGGAAAUGAAAUCAUUGUGAAGAAGAAAAAGAUCAAAAUACCAAAGAAGGCAGAGGAUAAACCACUAAGUCAAGAGGAAGAGAGACCUACAUCAAAUCCGCUGCCACCUCAGUCUGUAGCUGUUGCUUCUCAGAGGAGAGAACCUUCCUUGUCUGCUCGAGAACUACUUGAGAAAGUUGCUCAAGAGACUCCAAAUUUCGGAACUGAACAGGAUAAGGCCCAUUGCCCAUUUUACCUCAAGACAGCAGCUUGCCGCUUUGGAGUGCGCUGCAGCAGAGUUCAUUUCUACCCUGACAAAUCAUGCACAUUGCUCAUGAAAAACAUGUAUAAUGGUCCAGGCCUUGUUUUGGAACAAGAUGAAGGGCUUGAGGUUUGUUAGAGGACAAUCCCUUGCAAACAAAUUGGUAUCCUGAACUACAGUCACAUUAAUUAGAAUACUUAUUCCCGACCUACUCACUGUUUUGGCCCCUUGCUUUAGGAAUUAGGCAAAUAUUAAGUACAGUCACAUUAAUUUCUGUCUAAAUUUGGUUCUCAAUGUGGGAUUAACCAAUGCAUGAAGGAGGAGUGACCAUGCAUGCUGCAUUAAGACAGGGUCCAUCACUUAAUUAGGUCCUCCUUGGUUACUGUGAUUUUCUAGAUGAGCCAAAUGGAUUAAGCUUAAACUUUGUGCUGUACAAUGAACAACCAUAGGUAGAAAUAAUUGGUUACUUUAAUUCUUUUGUAAGUUCUCUUCCAAGUGUUAAAAUAUGCCUGUUGCUCUUUAGAAGUUUUGCUUGAUCUUCUGGCUACUCUCAGACCUGCGACAUAAUGCAUGUUCAUUGAUGCAUUCUCCAAGAAUUCCCUCUCGAGGCAAGCAGUGACCAACCACCCAGUUGGUUUCAUUUGAUUGGAGACGCCCUGAACUUUCAUCUGCUACCUACUUGUGAGAUGUUCUUUUAUUGGACGUGUUGAUGAUCAUUAGGUGACAGUUUACAGACGAAGAGAUUGAACAGAGCUAUGAAGAAUUUUAUGAAGACGUGCACACAGAAUUUCUGAAAUUUGGUGAACUUGUUAACUUCAAGGUAUGUAGAAAUGGAUCAUUCCAUCUUCGAGGAAAUGUCUAUGUGCAUUAUAAAGCCUUGGAUUCAGCUCUUCUUGCCUACAACAGCAUGAAUGGUCGAUAUUUUGCCGGGAAGCAGAUAACAUGUGAGUUUGUUGCUUUGACGAAAUGGAAGUCAGCGAUCUGUGGUGAGUACAUGAGGUCAAGAUUCAAGACAUGUUCACAUGGAGUUGCUUGUAAUUUCAUUCAUUGCUUUCGUAACCCUGGUGGAGAUUAUGAGUGGGCUGAUUGGGACAAUCCUCCACCUAAAUACUGGACUCGGAAGAUGGCUGCUCUGUUUGGUCCCUCAGAUGAUGCUGUUUUUGACAAGGCGAGUGAUACCCCAGAUUUUGAACGGUUACACAGUUCAGAUAGGAAGAGACUGAGAAGUUCUGAUGACAGGUAUAUUUCAAGUAGACAUGGGGAUGGAGGUGCACAUAAACGGCAUUCAUCAAGAGUUUUUUCACAUUCGAAGCAAGAGCAGAGCAACCAUAUCAUGAAACAUGGGCAUACUCGACAUAGAAGAGAAGCAUCUGCAGCAAAUGAGCAACGAGGCCAAGAGAUUGAAGAUGAUACUGGCAGAUACUGUUCGCCCAUGGAAAAUGAAAGAGUGUCCCAAGCACAUAAGCAUGAAGAGAAACAUAGAGACGGCCAUGGCGAUGUAGCACGUGGAUACAAUGGUAAAAUCAAGUCCAGGAAGCACAGAUCUGAACGGCACGAAAGUCUGGAGUCUGGAUGUUCUGAUUGGCCUUCAGAAUUUGCUGAUGCAGGCACAAGCAGAAGUCCUUCAGGCAGCAAGUCCACCAACAGGUACAAUGAUCACAAAAGGAACCGGAGGCAAUCCUCGGAUGAUCCCAAUCUUGAAAGGGGCUACUCCGCUGCGGACAAAUCAUCGGGGAAAGCACACAUUGCCAAAAGUAGCUCGAGACAUUACGUUGAAGAUGACUCUUGUGGUGAGAAAGGUAGUGGAAGAGGCAAAUCUGGAAAGCACAGUGAUCAUUGUGAUGACCCCGAUGAUAGAUGGCUAGCAACAAAUAGUGACGUUGAUUCAGACGCAGAAACUCGAUUCCCGAGGUCAAGCAGUGGAGUUGGUAAAGGUGGAAGGAACGAUAACGCUCCUCCUGAUGAGGAUGAUCGUUAUCGAAGGUCCAGCAGUAGGUCUGGUAGGUCAAGAGCGAAGGAUGACAAGAGCAGCAGGAAGAGGAAGAAGCGUCACAGUGAAAUCAGGAAGAACAGCGAUAGCGACGACGAUCCCUCAGAUUCUAGCGACGUUCGGGAUUUGAGCCUGCAUGCAAGGAGGAGUCGGUCAAGAAGCAGCGAGGAGGGUCUCUCAUUGCACAAGCGGAGGAAGGGUCGCCGUGGUCACGAUUCGUGAUGCAGCUGAAAUAUCUGAUCAUUUGGUCACUAGACUGGCGACUUCGGAUUCUGGACGAUAAAAGCAAAUGUGGUAUAGAUGCCAGUAGCUCAUGCAGUAGUCCUUGCCAGCCUUGCUUUCUUCUCCUUUUCUUGUGUUCUCCUCUUUGCUGAUGAGGUUCCUUUUUCGGGAUAGAGAUUUCUUGCAAAGCAGAAGGCUUGUAAUGGUUUUGUUAAUUUAGAGUUGUUCACAUCUCACCCUUGGUCCAGCCCUGGAAUUCCACCGACUAUAUGUUCACCACACUUGCUAUUGAACGAAAAGGCACAUCUUCAAAAC